ensembl:lncRNA
UGGAGAGCUUCCUGGUUAGGAAAGCCAGAAUUUUUUUAUGUUCCUGCAUACCUAGCCCCAGACUCCGUGAGGACAGAAACCCUUUUGUUUGGAAACUUGCCCUAUACGUCUCCUCAUCUGGUUGUUGAUUGAAGUCCUUUAAUAUCCUUCUUAAUAAAUACCCUCCAGUAUACAGACCAGGAAUAUGACUCAGGAAGGCUGGGCAGCACACACAGCUUCGGGCCCAUACCCAGAAGUUUCCCAGUCCACUGCUUCUUAUUGGAUUCACAUCAGCACCGCCAAUGCCUCCAGUGGUUAAGACUCUGCACAGUUUCUAUCCCUGGUUGGGGAACUAAGAACCUCAUGCUGCACGGUCAAAAAAAAAAAAAUCCAUAAAAAAAAAGAGCACACGUGGGCAUGUGGAAAUGGCAACCCACUCCAGUGUCCUUGCCUGGGAAAUCCCAUGGACAGUGGAGCCUGGUAGGCUACAGUCCAUGGUGUCACAAAGAGUUGGAUAUGCCUGAAUGACUGAACACACCACAUGGCGUGGGGGACGCACACCCAUUGGCCGCCUUUGUAGCUGAGGCUACACAGUGCCAUCCUCAGAUGGGUGAACACAGCCUGAUAGCCAACCUCCCUCCCUCCCUUAUUUAGUUCCCCAAUGGCUCAGCAGGUAAAGACUCUGCCUGCAAUGCAGGAGACACAGGUUCAAUCCUGGGUCAGGAAGACCCCCUGGAGAAGGAAAUGGCAACCUUGGUAUUCUUGCCUAGAAAAUCUCACAGAGGAGCCUGGCGGGCUACAGUCCAUGGGACCACAAAAAGUCGGACACAACUUAGCAACUAAACCACCAUCACCAAAUCAUGUAUGAAUCUCUGGGUAAAGUUUAGUUAGGAAAAUGGGAGUUUUCCACAUUCAGUAUAGUUUUUACUUUCCAGCCUCUGCCACCCAGGAAGGCAUUUUGGAAUAUAGGUACUGAGCAAACCAAUCAGAAUCUUAUAUGUCUAUCCCUCCUUGACCAUUUUCUCCUAAACCUUCCUCUGUUACUUCUAUACUAC